GACGAACGCUGGCGGCGUGCUUAACACAUGCAAGUCGAACGAAGAGCGAUGGAAGCUUGCUUCUAUCAAUCUUAGUGGCGAACGGGUGAGUAACGCGUAAUCAACCUGCCCUUCAGAGGGGGACAACAGUUGGAAACGACUGCUAAUACCGCAUACGAUCCAAUCUCGGCAUCGGGACUGGAUGAAAGGUGGCCUCUAUUUAUAAGCUAUCACUGAAGGAGGGGAUUGCGUCUGAUUAGCUAGUUGGAGGGGUAACGGCCCACCAAGGCGAUGAUCAGUAGCCGGUCUGAGAGGAUGAACGGCCACAUUGGGACUGAGACACGGCCCAGACUCCUACGGGAGGCAGCAGUGGGGAAUCUUCCGCAAUGGACGAAAGUCUGACGGAGCAACGCCGCGUGAGUGAUGACGGCCUUCGGGUUGUAAAGCUCUGUUAAUCGGGACGAAUGGUUCUUGUGCAAAUAGUGCGAGGAUUUGACGGUACCGGAAUAGAAAGCCACGGCUAACUACGUG
rnacentral:rRNA from 1 species